AGUGAUGGAGGAGAGAAGAUGGCGGAAGCGGAGUUUAAGGACCACAGUACAGCUAUGGAUAGUGAACCAAACCCUGGAACAUCUUCGGUAUCGACAACAGCCAGUAGCACCACCACGACCACCAUCACCACUUCCUCCUCUCGAAUGCAGCAACCACAGAUCUCUGUCUAUAGUGGCUCAGACCGACAUGCUGUACAGGUAAUUCAACAGGCAUUGCACCGCCCUCCCAGCUCAGCUGCUCAGUAUCUACAGCAAAUGUAUGCCGCCCAGCAGCAGCACUUAAUGCUGCACACAGCAGCUCUCCAGCAGCAGCACUUAAGCAGCUCCCAGCUUCAGAGCCUUGCUGCUGUUCAGGCAAGUUUGUCCAGUGGAAGACCACCUACAUCCCCCACAGGAAGUGUCACACAGCAGUCAAGUAUGUCCCAGACAUCUAUCAACCUCUCUACUUCUCCUACACCUGCACAGUUAAUAAGCCGUUCCCAGGCUUCCAGUUCUACCAGUGGCAGUAUUACCCAACAGACUAUGUUACUAGGGAGUACCUCCCCUACCCUAACGGCAAGCCAAGCUCAAAUGUAUCUCCGAGCUCAAAUGCUGAUUUUCACACCCGCUACCACUGUGGCUGCUGUACAGUCUGACAUUCCUGUUGUCUCGUCGUCAUCGUCAUCUUCCUGUCAGUCUGCAGCUACUCAGGUUCAGAAUUUAACAUUACGCAGCCAGAAGUUGGGUGUAUUAUCUAGCUCACAAAAUGGUCCACCAAAAAGUACUAGUCAAACUCAGUCAUUGACAAUUUGUCAUAACAAAACAACAGUGACCAGUUCUAAAAUCAGCCAACGAGAUCCUUCUCCAGAAAGUAAUAAGAAAGGAGAAAGUCCAAGUCUGGAAUCACGAAGCACAGCUGUCACCCGGACAUCAAGUAUUCACCAGUUAAUAGCACCAGCUUCAUAUCCUCCAAUUCAGCCUCAUCCUCUAAUAAAACAUCAGCAGAUUCCUCUUCAUUCGCCUCCUCCCAAAGUUUCCCACCAUCAGCUGAUGCUACAACAGCAGCAACAGCAAAUUCAGCCAAUCACACUUCAAAGUCCAACUCAAGACCCACCGCCAUCCCAGCACUGUUUACCACUCCAAAACCACGGCCUGCCUCCAGCUCCCAGUAGUGCCCAGUCACAGCAUUGUUCCCCAAUUCAGAGUCAUCCCCCUCCUCUAACAGUGUCUCCUAGCCAGUCACAGUCAGCACAGCAGUCUGUAGUGGUGUCUCCUCCACCACCUCAUUCACCAAGUCAGUCUCCUACUAUAAUUAUUCAUCCACAAGCACUUAUUCAGCCACACCCACUUGUGUCAUCAGCUCUCCAGCCAGGGUCAAACUUGCAGCAGUCCACUGCUAAUCAGGUGCAACCUACAGCACAGCUGAAUCUUCCAUCCCAUCUUCCACUUCCAGCUUCCCCUGUUGUACACAUUGGCCCAGUUCAGCAGUCCGCCUUGGUGUCCCCAGGUCAGCAGAUUGUGUCUCCAGCAUCACACCAGCAAUAUUCAACCCUGCAGUCCUCUCCAAUCCCAAUUGCAACCCCUCCGCAGAUGUCGACAUCUCCUCCAGCUCAGAUUCCACCGCUGCCCUUGCAGUCUAUGCAGUCUUUACAAGUGCAGCCUGAAAUUCUGUCCCAGGGCCAGGUUUUGGUGCAGAAUGCUUUGGUGUCAGAAGAGGAGCUUCCAGCUGCAGAAGCUUUGGUCCAGUUGCCAUUUCAGACUCUUCCUCCUCCACAGACUGUUGCGGUAAACCUACAAGUACAACCACCAGCAUCCGUUGAUCCACCAGUGGUUUAUCAAGUAGAAGAUGUAUGUGAAGAAGAAAUGCCAGAGGAGUCAGAAGAAUGUGUCCGAAUGGAUAGAACUCCACCACCACCCACAUUGUCUCCAGCAGCUAUAACUGUGGGGAGAGGAGAAGAUUUGACUUCUGAGCAUCCUUUGUUAGAGCAAGUAGAAUUACCUGUUGUGGCAUCAGUCAGUGCUUCAGUAAUUAAAUCUCCAUCAGAUCCUUCACAUGUGUCUGUUCCUCCACCUCCACUCUUACUUCCAGCUGCUACCACAAGGAGUAAUAGUACAUCUAUGCCUAGUAGCAUACCCAGUGUAGAAAACAAACCUCCACAGGCUAUUGUUAAGCCACAGAUCUUGACCCAUGUUAUUGAAGGCUUUGUGAUUCAGGAGGGAUUGGAGCCAUUUCCUGUGAGUCGUUCAUCUCUGCUGAUUGAACAGCCUGUGAAAAAAAGGCCUAUUUUGGAUAAUCAGGUGAUAAAUUCUGUGUGUGUUCAGCCAGAGCUACAGAAUAAUGCAAAGCAUGCAGACAAUUCAUCUGACACAGAGAUGGAAGACAUGAUUGCUGAAGAGGCAUUAGAAGAAAUGGACAGUGAGUUGCUCAAGUGUGAAUUCUGUGGAAAGAUGGGGUAUGCUAAUGAAUUUCUGCGGUCAAAACGAUUCUGCACUAUGUCGUGUGCCAAAAGGUACAAUGUUAGCUGUUCUAAAAAAUUUGCACUUAGUCGUUGGAGUCGUAAGCCUGAUAAUCAAAGUCUUGGGCAUCGUGGCCGUCGUCCAAGUGGCCCUGAUGGGGCAGCAAGAGAACAUAUCCUUAGGCAGCUUCCAAUUACUUAUCCAUCUGCAGAAGAAGACUUGGCUUCUCAUGAAGAUUCUGUGCCGUCUGCUAUGACAACACGCCUGCGCAGGCAGAGUGAGCGGGAAAGAGAGCGUGAGCUUCGGGAUGUGAGAAUGAGGAAAAUGCCUGAGAACAGUGACUUGCUACCAGUUGCACAAACGGAGCCAUCUGUAUGGACAGUUGAUGACGUCUGGGCCUUCAUCCAUUCUUUGCCUGGCUGCCAGGAUAUCGCAGAUGAGUUCAGAGCACAGGAGAUUGAUGGACAGGCUCUUCUCUUGCUAAAAGAAGACCAUCUUAUGAGUGCAAUGAAUAUCAAGCUAGGCCCGGCCCUAAAGAUCUGUGCACGCAUCAACUCUCUGAAGGAAUCUUAAUGGGAUCAUGAGGCUUUGAGAUAACAGCAGUUUUAUUCUUAAACAAACUUGUAAGAGGUGUUGCUAUAUGCAGGGUGUGUGACAGAACUAUACGAAGAAGCUGGUGCUGAUUACUGUACAUUUUGAACUACACCCAGUAUUGACAGUGCAGUCACUUCUGAAAACUGAAAAAUCUCAGAAGAGCUUGCUGAACAGGUUUGGUUUUUAUUUUGUUUUUGUCUUUUUAAAGCAAGAAAGAUUACAUAAAAUUGUACUAUUACCACAAAUAUCUACUUUCUGGAAAGCACUCAUAUAUUGCAUAGUAAAAGGGUUUCCUUUAAAAUGCAGAACUGGUAAGCAGUAAAACAGUUUUGUGCUUGGAGCUUGAAUUUACAAGUAUUUGGGGAGUAAAUAUAGAAUGGGAGAAUUGAUUAAUUGGCAAGAAGGUCCCUUACCACCCAAGGAUUCUGUGAAUUACAUUGUGAUUUCCUAUUGACACAACUUUACAUAUUAAUAUCACUUGAUACUAACAUUCUCCAUAAAGAUACAAAAUGAAAAUAAAUUAAAAAGAUCUUUUAUGUAUCAUAGUUACAGCUUUUUAAAGCAGGAAAAUGUCCAAAUACGUGUUAGACUAGAAUCUAUAAUAAAGUGUUUGUAAACAGGAACACUAACAUCCAAGUGACCAGAUAGUCUGGGUUUAAAAAAAUUUUUCCAUGGUACUGGUUAAAACUUUUAAAAUAUUUUAACUUAACAUAGUUUUCCAAAUAUUUUUACUGUUAAAAUAUCUGUUACAUAAAUACUUUUUUGUAUGUGUAUUCUAAAUUUUUAAAAAAUCAGUGGGAGUGUGCAAAGAUGGUAUAAUUUUGGACAUCUAAUUUCUAAGACAUUUAACUAGAUUCCCAAUCACCUCAUUCAAAAGCUUGGUCUUUCUGUUUUUUCCAUAGGAAAAAAAAGUCAAAGUAAGCUCCAAAAAACUAUCCUCAAAGUAAGGGGUCAGCUUGUGCUGUAGGUCGGAGUUGUAGGCAGCAGUGUGCAGGAUGGAUACUGACACUGGUGUCAGGCAUUUCAAGCCUCUUUGUUGAAUUAGUGCUUUUUGUCUGCUGGCUUGUUGAAAACAUUUUUUGCUGUUGACUUAACAAAGGCAAAUUGUGAUAAACUUUUAAAAAUUUUUAUUUUUGAUGCUUUAUGCACAUGUUAACUGAUUUUUUAAUUCCUCCUUUUGCUUCCUCCCAUUGUUCUAAUUAAAUAGGACUUUCAUAUUAUUAAAACCUCAAACACUGACCCAACCAGGAUGAACAAAGCAUCACCAAGGGGAAAGAAAACAUUUUUUUAUCUUUACAAAAAACAAAUGUUAAGAUUAUAUAUAGAUGUAUUCUUUAUGUUGGAUAUUGUACUAGAGUCCUCCUUGCAGGGAAUGAAAUAGUUUUAGCACUCUUAGCAUUAGCGUUCCUAGCUUGGUGUCUAUAGCUACAGUUUUAAAAUGUAUAACCUGACAAUGAAGUUAAUUUUGCAUUAUAAGAGCACACCAUGAUCUAUGUAAAAAGAUUGUCCAUUUGGUGUAUUUUUUUAAAAAAGAGAAAGCACUUUCAUAUUAACAGUAGCAUGUGUAUGAAUUUUAGAUUUUCAUAUUUGUUGUGUCUGUAUUCAGUGAAGUAAAAUUGAACAUUUCAAAUGUUUGUUGAUGGCAACAUUAACUGUUAAAUUAAAGCACCUUAUACUCUGCUGCUUAAACUUGCUUGUAAUUGCACCUUUGUUACCUGCACAUUUUCACAUAGAAUAUUGUUGUAACAUUGCUUCAUGUGGGUCUGGAUGGAAGGUUAGUGGGCCUACAGGAUCAUUUAUUUAUAUUGUUUAUAUUACAAUAAUAUAUUGUAGACCAGUUGUAAGUUCAUUUCUUUACAAAUAAAAGCCUCUUCCAUUUGGCUGGUCAA